CGCUUCCUCCUCCGCGGCACCUGCGGCUGCCGCGGCGCGCCCGCACACCGGCGCAGCUCGGCUCGGCUCGGCUCGGCGCGGCGCGGCGCGGCGCGGCACGAGUGAAGCCCUUUUUGAAUUGCAUCCAGUUUCAUGACUCCACUAAAGACAAAUCAUACCACUGCAUGAAUAACUUCGGAGUGGAUUGUCUUUUGCAGUUCAUGUAACGAACGAGCGUCCGGGUCAUCCAAAUGGGCGAAUAGUUGAUGUAUCUGAGACUUGUUAAAGAAGUCAAGAUUUGAUUUCGUGUAACUGAAAUACAUCUGGGAAUGAUAUUUCUGAUAUGUGUGUAAAUGUGAAGAGAGUGGUGCCUAGUGUUUGCCUCUCUAUAGCCCUCUACCUCAUGGCCUCAGGGGCAGCGAGAGAAAGACUCUACUUUCCCAGCCUGCCUGGUAUGUGGCAUUAGAUGCUACAGCAUUGUUCUUGCAAACAUAUGCUGCUUCAAGCCAGAAAAAAAUCUAUUGUGUACAAGGGGGUUGACUGGGGUCCUUAGGAAGAUGGCUUAGUGUAAGUGGUAUGCUGAAAACAUCGUUCUUGCAGAUCUUCAGCAUGACGUAUUGCCUUCAGUCGGGUACUCACUGUUGCAUGGUCUGCUGUGCUUUGGGCUGAACAGCAUUUUCACAAAUGUCCUGUUAUCAUUGCAGAAAUAUUUCAUAAGCCAUAUGCUGAGUGCAGCAAUACAGAAGACGACUCCAGUCAUGCAGAAAUACAGGGCUGGACAUAACAUAAUGUAUGCUCCUAGUUGAUGGUCUUCCUUGUUUGUCUAUGGAAGAUACAGUUUUACUGGGGGGAGGAAAAAUAGUCUUUGUCCCCUGCUUUAUCGCUGCUCCGUGAGCACCUGCACCUGGCUUUGUGAUGGGGAAGCAACUUUGUAUCUUGGAUGUACCUAGCUCUUUGCACAUCUGAGGGUUUGGACUCCAAAGCAGAACUUGCUGUCAAAAGUGUUAGCGUUUCAACUGAGUUAAAAUGCAUUAUAAGUAAGUGCAUGAGUCUGAUCAUCUGCAGGCUCUGGUGGAACCUCCAGUAAAGGAUCUCAGACAGAAAGCCUGCCAGCCCGUCUUGGAGAUCUGUGAGAUCCGUGGGAGCCAGGAGCCACGUGCACUGAGGUUUGUGCCUUUGCGGUAGCCAUAGUCUUGCAAAGGCUUGCUUCAUGUGGGAAUGGGAAGGUGUAUGGGGGGAUCUGCAGUAUGUGUAACGAACUGUAGUGUCACUUCGUUCAUACACACAAGGAUACAAGCCAGAAUGGAUCUCUACAGGAGAACUGGAAUAAAAUUGUGGGUUUCUGUGGAAAAUGUGCACACUCAGAAGAAUAGCAGUCCUGCUAUGCUAGUGAUAACGUAGGAGCAAAGCACCCAAGAGGGUCUAAGGUUUAGGGAGGGUGCUGGAUUUUGUAGGGAAUGUGAGCUGGCUUUUGUAACUGCAAGUCCUUUCAUCAUCAGUCUGGGAAAUGCAUUAACAUUUGCUUUGUUUGCAUGUGUGACCCUCAGUCUCCUUUGGGUUUUGCCACGUUUGAGUUGAACUUCUUCAGCUGUUGGGAGGUCAGGAAGCUGCAGACAGAAGGUGGAUGAGAAAGUAGGCAACCUCAGGGAGUGCAGAGAGUGAGUGUGAGGGGACAGCUGGCAUUGCCAGCUCAGUUAAGCAAGUUCCCGUAGUCAAGAACAAUCCCAGAGGGUGCUCUGCUCCUGUAUUGCUCUCAGAACCAGUCUGUUAUUAUUUGCAUUAAUAUGUAUUUGUAGCAAUGUUAUUAAAUAUGCACUAUAAAUACACAUGAUGUGCAGGGCUAGUGUUUCCAAAACCACUUAGGCGUUAUGCAGGAGUAGUUUGUAACCAGCCAGGCUGGCUGAGAAAAGCAUUCCUAAACCGUGUUUCUAGCAGUGGCUUCUGCUGUUUGUACUGAGCAGACGCUCGGAUUCGGUGGGGUUUCACUGGAUAUGAAGGUUUGUUGCAGAUUUCUCAUUUGUGAUAAUAGGACAUGCUGUCUUCAUUGGGAUAUUCUACAGAACAAUCUGUGUGCACGCAAAGAACUGUAAAAUGUCAAGUGGUAUAUGGUAUUAAAUAUUAUGCAUAAUAAUUUUAUUACUGCUAAUUGUUUUUAGAGAAGUCUCCGAGUCUCCAUCCUGUUUUCUGACUCAUAACUGGUGAAUAUUCUUGAACGUCUAGUGAUGUUCCCUUGAAAAAAGCUGGAAAAGAUUGCCAAGAAGCUAAGUGAACCAGUUAGGCAUUUCCUUUGCCUUAAAAAAUGACCCAAGUAACAAGUAACAGCAUCGUAUUACCUUUCUUUUUGGGAAUGGUGGUGGAUAUUGGGGUCCCAGAGACUUUCCAACAUCAGUUCACCUGAUAAUGCAUUUGGACUUAUAGUAGGUUUGGAUCCUUUGGGAUAAUUAACUUACCCUGUUGGUUAUAGAGUGUAAAGUCAACUUACAAGAGAAAAUAAAGAACAGAAAGGACCUUCUGGAGUACACAUAAUAUGAAUUCAGUGUGUUUUGUGUUCCUGUCUCUUUUUGCCUUAAAGACCCUAUAGCCUCCGUUUCUAAAUGUGUUCCUGAAGCACUGGGAUUACUAAUUCACCUUCAGGUCUUUUAAUCAUUGGGACUUUUGCCUCCAGCUUCUCUGGUGAAGGACGUGAAGUGAGGAUCUUUCUGCAGUAUGCAACCUAAUCUAAUAAAGAAAAGGAAAACCUCAAGGGUAGAAAAAGCAGCAGCUACAUAUCAUGGGAUAGCAUCCUGCCUUAGGAUCACUUGCAGAAAUAUUUUCUUCAUUGUGUGCUACCAUCAAAGACAUUAACUGCACAUAACAUCAUUGCAUGCCUGAACUGACAGUAAUCAAAGGAGGUGUAUUCAUGGCUGUAUUUUGGAAGGGCAGAGCCAGGAUCUGUAUUACUGACUUCAGAGGAGGUGUACAGAGCAUGAGAGAGACAGAAUGCAUCCUUUGGGAAUAAUUUAAAAUAGGUAUGUGCAUGAAUCCUUCUGAUCCAUAUGAUUUUGUGGCUGUAUCUAAGAGACAAAUUGGCCUUUUUUUUUUCUUUUUUUUUUUUUUUGCAAGGCUUCUCUGCAAACUAUAUGAAUGUUUAUACUGUUAAAAGUGCUACUCAUGUCCAUGUUCUGUGUUUUGUCUGCAGGUUUAGGAAAAAAAAGGAGAAAAAACAGACAGGCAACUUUGCACUAACAAAGCACCUUUCUUGUGUUGUUCUCAGGAUACCUAGCAAACAGUAAAUUAAGACUUACAAAAAAGUCCCCCUUACCCUUCCUAUCAUCAUCAUGUGAGUUGUAAAAAUGAGGCAGAGAGUACUGUUGUCUCACUGGUGAUUUUAAUAUGAAUUUUUAUGAUUUUUUUUAUCACUAGUGGUACAAGAAAAAUGGAUAGUUUAUCUCUGAAGGAGGUUAGAAAAUUCUUGUCUCUUUUGGAUGUGUUCUUCACAAUGGAAGAAAUAUUGGGUACAAUUCUUGACCUGCCAACAUCAAUUGGCAUUUGCCACUGGUUUCUGUGAAGACAAGAUUUCCUUCUCUGUGCUACAAAUUAGUCAAUUUUCUUUGUAUAGUCACUUACUAAUGGGUUUCCCCUAUUUGUGAGGACCUAGUAUGUGUGAUAUGAACAUGAACGCAUUUUAUUUAGGGUUGGAAGUUUAGGGUUUAUUUAGUAUUGGAAGACUUCACAAUAGUUAAAGUCAUGUUAGGAUCAGAACCUGGAAGUAUUUCAUUUGUUUUCAAAAUGCAAAUCCGUGUUUCACUGGUGGUACUGUGCUGUGCAUGCACUGCAUAAACUUGCAAAUGAGAGAGUUGUAAGUCAUGCAUUGGAACCAGAACUUCCACUAUGCUUUUUUUUUCAAGAAAUAUGUGAUAAAAUUUUAGUUGUGGUGGAAAAAGAGCUUGCAUUUCUGUCAGGUGCGGGACAGAAUGUGGCUUCAAAAUACAGUCUUGCCCAUUUUGCAACUGUGUGGCUACUUCCACUUUUUUAUGUUUAUCUUUAGAAAAGAGAUACUCUUUAGAGUAUCAUAUCCUCAUGUGACAUCAAUUCUAUAUGCUUAGUAAUAAACCAAAUAUAAAUCUGUCUUGCUGAUACCUCAAGAUUUACUUUCAGUAUACAUAGACUGGAGUAUAUUCUGAUGAGUUUUUCCUGUGAGACGUGUAUCUGUUAAUACAAACUUUUAUUAAAAUUAUUCCAGAAAUACGUUUGUGAAGUUUUCCAGUGCAAAAAGGGGAACUUGAAGUUUGUUUGCUUUUUUUUUUAAUGUACACUCAUGAUUAACAGUGUAUAUGUUCACCUUUGUGGAAGUACACAUGCGUUUUGGGAAAUCUGACAUUUGUGUUCCAAAAACUCUGUAUAUUAAGUGGAGGAGGAUAUCAGUAUUUGUGUUCUUCUUUGCAAAGGAUGAAAAAUGGUGGUGUGUGUUAAAAAUAAGGAAUAUGAUUAAUUAAAUGGGUUAAAACUUCA